rnacentral:rRNA from 1 species
AACGUACGCUGGCGGCACGCCUAACACAUGCAAGUCGAACGAAGUAGCAAUACUUAGUGGCAGACGGGUGAGUAACAUGUAGGUAUCUGCCCUUUGGCCUGGAAUAACACGAGGAAACUUGUGCUAAUACCGGAUAGGUCUUUACGGAGAAAGCUUUAUGCACCAUUGGAUGAGCCUGCACUUGAUUAGUUUGUUGGUGGGGUAAUGGCCUACCAAGACUGUGAUCAAUAGCUGAUUUGAGAGGAUGAUCAGCCACAUUGGGACUGAGACACGGCCCAAACUCCUACGGGAGGCAGCAGUGGGGAAUCUUGCACAAUGGAGGAAACUCUGAUGCAGCGAUGCCGCGUGAGUGAAGAAGGCCCUUGGGUUGUAAAGCUCUUUCGUCGGGGAAGAAAAUGACUGUACCCGAAUAAGAAGGUCCGGCUAACUUCGUGCCAGCAGCCGCGGUAAUACGAAGGGACCUAGCGUAGUUCGGAAUUACUGGGCUUAAAGAGUUCGUAGGUGGUUGAAAAAGUUAGUGGUGAAAUCCCAGAGCUUAACUCUGGAACUGCCAUUAAAACUUUUCAGCUAGAGUAUGAUAGAGGAAAGCAGAAUUUCUAGUGUAGAGGUGAAAUUCGUAGAUAUUAGAAAGAAUACCAAUUGCGAAGGCAGCUUUCUGGAUCAUUACUGACACUGAGGAACGAAAGCAUGGGUAGCGAAGAGGAUUAGAUACCCUCGUAGUCCAUGCCGUAAACGAUGUGUGUUAGACGUUGGAAAUUUAUUUUCAGUGUCGCAGGGAAACCGAUAAACACACCGCCUGGGGAGUACGACCGCAAGGUUAAAACUCAAAUGAAUUGACGGGGACCCGCACAAGUAGUGGAGCAUGUGGUUUAAUUCGAAGAUACGCGCAGAACCUUACCGACACUUGACAUGUUCGUCGCGACUCUAAGAGAUUAGAGUUUUCGGUUCGGCCGGACGAAACACAGGUGCUGCAUGGCUGUCGUCAGCUCGUGUCGUGAGAUGUUGGGUUAAGUCCCGCAACGAGCGCAACCCUCACUUUUAGUUGCCAUCAUUAAGUUGGGCACUCUGAAAGAACUGCCAGUGAUAAGCUGGAGGAAGGUGGGGAUGACGUCAAGUCCUCACGGCCCUUACGUGUUGGGCUACACACGUGCUACAAUGGUAUCUACAACAGGAAGCAAGACUGCGAAGUUAAGCAAAUCCCUAAAAGAUACCUCAGUUCGGAUUGCACUCUGCAACUCGAGUGCAUGAAGCUGGAAUUACUAGUAAUCGUGGAUCAGCGUGCCACGGUGAAUGCGUUCCCGGGUCU